rnacentral:piRNA from 1 species
AUCAGAUACUGUGGAAUAAAAGC